rnacentral:lncRNA from 1 species
CUCCCGAGUAGCUGGGACUACAGGCUGGUACACCCCUCCAAAGGAAGAUGGCUAAAUGUGUUGACUGUUGUAUGUUUGGACUAAUGUUGCUUUAAAGAAAAUCUUUCUAACAUGCAGACAAAAGCUUUGAGUGCCCCUAUUACAGCAGUACCGAAGAUGUUAGUUAAUAGAUAUUUUAGUGGAUAAUCUGUCAUCUGACAUCCAGUAUAAGUUACAGCCUUUGCAUUUUGCUCAUUUUAGAUAUCUUGGACUGAGCAGUGGGGCCUUUACUGUAUUUUUCCUGAUAAAUACACAUACUGGCCACUCCUUAUCUCUUUUUCUUGAAAAGUGAACUUUUUAAAGCAGCCAAGUCAACAUCAGGCUACUGAAGUUGAGGCUUUAGGGUAACUUUCCUAUAUUGAGCCCAUGGGUUACAAGGAUUUGCAAUAUAUUGUUCCAUUUACAGCCAAUACAGGUUUAAUCGAUGUUCAAUAUUGGUUUAGGAAAUUUAAGGCCUUCUAAAUCAUAAUAGCUCUUUCAUGUCUAAAACCAUUUUAUGAUAUUGCCAAAAUGUGAUAGGAAACCUACUCAUUAAAUUGUUAAACUUUUUAAUGACUAUGUGAAGAUAUGAAUUGUUUCCUGAAGAUAAUACUCUUAAUUGAGUUGUAUUGUACUUCUUAGGCAAAGCAGUGUAAAACUGUAUCAAUUAAGGCUUGUGAGUAGUGAUUUCCACUGGGGCAUCAGAGUCUUGGCUGGGCUGAAUCUGCUGCUUGUUGGUUCAGUGUUUCUUAUGAACAAGAGCCACAGUACAGAGCUUCAAGUUAUUUAAAAUACUAAGUCAUCUUACGUUUCCAUUUUAUUAACGGGAUGUUGCAAUCGUUUGUAAACUAAUAAACUUAUAAAGUGAUUGGCACAAAGACUCCUUGAGCAAAAGCUGUGCAGUUAAGUACAAAAAGAUACUUAAUUUGGAGACUCUUACAGUAAUUUUUGCCAUGUCAAAACAAUGGCUUUUACAUUGAAAGAUUAAUAGAAACUCUACAUAUGUUAAUUUUUUUAUAGAACCUGACUCAAAUCAAGGUACUCUCCAUUUUAUUGCCUUACCUGAAUCAGUCCUUUUUGGUUGGUAAUAGAUUUUUUUAUACACCCACGUUUGAUUUAAAAGUAAAUUCUAGUUCUUAAGCACUUUUAACAAAUCCAGAAGCACAUUUUUCUGCACAAACAAGUUACAAAGUUCAAAAGUGUUUCUUGUGCAUUAGCUUUGAGAUUCAGUUUUUAACUUUGUAAACCACAUCUGAGAGACUUGUCAUUUCUACAUUGUGUGUGUUUAAUUUCUUUUGAUUCCAUUUUGGUUAAGAGAGCAGUAAAUAGAUUUUCUGGUAUUCUUGUUCACUUGAUUACAUUUGUAUAAAGUUCUGAUUGCCAGUUGCUCAGAUAACAAGUGACAAGGCAGAAUUCUUUAAAUCAGUAAAGUUCCUUAAGCCUAAGGCUAAAUCUUGAAUACAUUGUUGAAUUCUUUAAUAUCCUGAUGGCAAGCAGACUGAUAGCUGCACAUUUGGCAUGCUUUGUUUAAUGGAUUUUAUUUUUAAUUGCAGAUUUAUUUGGCAAUGUACAGUAAAUUUUGUAAACUUGCAUCAAGUUUAUGAAUAAAGAACC